AUACGUAGGUGGCAAGCGUUGUCCGGAUUUACUGGGUGUAAAGGGUGCGUAGGCGGCCCUGCAAGUCGGGUGUGAAAACCGUCGGCUCAACUGACGGAUUGCACUCGAAACUGCGGGGCUUGAGUGAAGUAGAGGCAAGCGGAAUUCCCGGUGUAGCGGUGAAAUGCGUAGAGAUCGGGAGGAACACCAGUGGCGAAGGCGGCUUGCUGGGCUUUAACUGACGCUGAGGCACGAAAGCGUGGGUAGCAAACAGGAUUAGAUACCCUGGUAGUCCAUGCUGUAAACGAUGAUUACUAGGUGUGGGUGGACUGACCCCAUCCGUGCCGGAGUUAACACAAUAAGUAAUCCACCUGGGAAGUACGACCGCAAGGUUGAA
rnacentral:rRNA from 1 species